rnacentral:rRNA from 1 species
AAUAGAUACCCAGGUAGUCCACGCCGUAAACGAUGAGUGCUAGGUGUCACGGGCUUUGACCCUCGUGGUGCCGUAGCUAACGCAAUAAGCACUCCGCCUGGGGAGUACGGUCGCAAGACUAAAACUCAAAGGAAUUGACGGGGGGCCCGCACAAGCGGUGGAGCAUGUGGUUUAAUUCGACGCGACGCGCAGAACCUUACCUGGGCUAGAAAACACAGGAACCUGGGUGAAAACUCGGGGUGCCCUUCGGGGAAUCUGUGGUUAGGUGUUGCAUGGCUGUCGUCAGCUCGUGUCGUGAGAUGUUGGGUUAAGUCCCGCAACGAGCGCAACCCUUGUCGUUAGUUGCCAUCAUUCAGUUGGGCACUCUAAACGAGACUGCCGACCUUCAAGUCGGAGGAAGGUGGGGAUGACGUCAAGUCCUCAUGGCCCCUAUGUCCAGGGCUACACACGUGCUACAAUGAUCGGUACAAAGGGCUGCGAAACCGCGAGGUGAAGCCAAUCCCAAAAAACCGGUCUCAGUACGGAAUUGGAGUCUGCAACUCGACUCC